CCUUUGUAGCGGACGCCCCUCGACCCACCCACCCGAUCCCGGCCGCACCCUGCUCUGCACCCGCACCCCACCCCCAGACCUCACCCUGCCCUGCCGUGCGCUCAACAGCCAGAUGCUGGGCCCAGACAAGCGCUCUUCCGCUAGUGUGCCGGGAUGAGCGGGGGCUGGACUUCUAGAAAGGGGUCUGCGGGCGCAGGAGCUGGGGUCCGCGGUCUGGGGCCGCCAACACAAGCCAUCAGCCCCAUGCUCAGCUCCCAGCAGGCAGAGCGUUCAGAAGCGCCAGCGCCAUCAUCUUGGGAGCCUGCAGUCCACACACCGCUGACCUUACCUACUUCCUCUUUCCAGGUCGUAGAUUACAGACUCUCCUCUGGGAAAUUGCCCCCAGAUCUAACAGGAGUACAAGAAGCUGGGUAGAUUGGAAAACAGCACCGAAUUCCCCUGGAACUGAGGACGGAAGCCUUCCCAGUCCUGCAGCCACCUGCAGACUCUCACAAGCACGGUGCUCCCGGGAGAAGACCUUGCUACCCCAGGCCCAAGGCAGUCGAGAGAAAACGGGAAGCCCUGAAGGUUUUUCACCCCGGGGGUGAGAGUGUAUGAUCGAAGAUAUAUUUGAGGGUAAUUGUACAGAUAGUCCCAACUUAGCAUUGUUCAACUUUAUGAUGGUAUGAAAGUGAUGACAUUCAGUAGAAAUUGUACUUCAAGUGCCAAUACAAUCAGUUUUUCACUUUUGGUGCAGUAUUCAAUAAAUUACAUGAGAUAUUCAACACUUUACUUUAAAAAAAAAAAAAA
rnacentral:lncRNA from 1 species